rnacentral:rRNA from 1 species
GCUUACACAUGCAAGUCGAACGGAAAGGCCCCAGCUUGCUGGGGUACUCGAGUGGCGAACGGGUGAGUAACACGUGGGUGAUCUGCCCUGCACUUUGGGAUAAGCUUGGGAAACUGGGUCUAAUACCGAAUAUGACCACUUCUUGGAUGUUGUGGUGGAAAGCUUUUGCGGUGUGGGAUGAGCCUGCGGCCUAUCAGCUUGUUGGUGGGGUAAUGGCCUACCAAGGCGGCGACGGGUAUCCGGCCUGAGAGGGUGUACGGACACAUUGGGACUGAGAUACGGCCCAGACUCCUACGGGAGGCAGCAGUGGGGAAUAUUGCACAAUGGGCGCAAGCCUGAUGCAGCGACGCCGCGUGGGGGAUGAAGGCCUUCGGGUUGUAAACUCCUUUCGCUAUCGACGAAGCCUUCGGGUGACGGUAGGUAGAUAAGAAGCACCGGCUAACUACGUGCCAGCAGCCGCGGUAAUACGUAGGGUGCAAGCGUUGUCCGGAAUUACUGGGCGUAAAGAGCUCGUAGGUGGUUUGUCGCGUCGUCUGUGAAAUCCCGGGGCUUAACUUCGGGCGUGCAGGCGAUACGGGCAUAACUUGAGUGCUGUAGGGG